GUUGGUGACCUUUUUUUCGAAUUAUGACAGUAGUUGGUGAUAAGUCCCUGUAAUUGACGUGCAAAUCGAUCGUCAAACGUGAGUAAAGGGGCGAAAUACUAAUCGAACCAUCUAGUAG
rnacentral:ncRNA from 1 species